CUCCUUAACUUGAGGGUGAACAACUUAAAGCUUGAUCCUACAGAGUUACCUGAAAAGUGAUUUGAGUAUUCAUUGAACUGAAAGAACAAAUCGCCUACUUCAGGCGGUGGGAAGCGUAUGGAAAUUAUAUUAGAACUUCAGCAAAGUGCACAGCUGCAUAAUAGAGAAGCCGGCACUCAGAUUGACAGGCAAAUAAGCCAGCUUGUGGAAGGGGCCUCUGGGUGGCAGCUCUGGGCUUUUGGGUGUUGGACAACCAUAGGCAAAACUGAAAUGGAACAGGGGCAGAAAAUAGCACACUUUUACUCUACGCAACUGUUGCUUUUUCAUGAUCUUCCUGAAUUUUCCUGGGAUAAUUUUCCAAAGAGAAUUCCAAGCAUUCUAUUCAAAUGGUUAUUGAUUAUUAAAAUGGCACUGAAAUGAGAUAGCUCCAAAAUAACAGAGCUCUUUCUGAGAUGAGGAGAACUCUUAAUGUCAAGAUUUGAACAAGAAGAGAAUGGAAUACACAUAU